rnacentral:rRNA from 1 species
GUCGAGCGGUAACAGGGGGUGCUUGCACCCCGCUGACGAGCGGCGGACGGGUGAGUAAUGCAUAGGAAUCUGCCCGAUAGUGGGGGAUAACCUGGGGAAACCCAGGCUAAUACCGCAUACGUCCUACGGGAGAAAGGGGGCUCCGGCUCCCGCUAUCGGAUGAGCCUAUGUCGGAUUAGCUGGUUGGUGAGGUAAAGGCUCACCAAGGCGACGAUCCGUAGCUGGUCUGAGAGGAUGAUCAGCCACAUCGGGACUGAGACACGGCCCGAACUCCUACGGGAGGCAGCAGUGGGGAAUAUUGGACAAUGGGGGCAACCCUGAUCCAGCCAUGCCGCGUGUGUGAAGAAGGCCCUCGGGUUGUAAAGCACUUUCAGUGAGGAAGAACGCCUGGUGGUUAAUACCCAUCAGGAAAGACAUCACUCACAGAAGAAGCACCGGCUAACUCCGUGCCAGCAGCCGCGGUAAUACGGAGGGUGCGAGCGUUAAUCGGAAUUACUGGGCGUAAAGCGCGCGUAGGUGGCUUGAUAAGCCGGUUGUGAAAGCCCCGGGCUCAACCUGGGAACGGCAUCCGGAACUGUCAAGCUAGAGUGCAGGAGAGGAAGGUAGAAUUCCCGGUGUAGCGGUGAAAUGCGUAGAGAUCGGGAGGAAUACCAGUGGCGAAGGCGGCCUUCUGGACUGACACUGACACUGAGGUGCGAAAGCGUGGGUAGCAAACAGGAUUAGAUACCCUGGUAGUCCACGCCGUAAACGAUGUCGACCAGCCGUUGGGUGCCUAGCGCACUUUGUGGCGAAGUUAACGCGAUAAGUCGACCGCCUGGGGAGUACGGCCGCAAGGUUAAAACUCAAAUGAAUUGACGGGGGCCCGCACAAGCGGUGGA